UACGAAGGGGGCUAGCGUUGCUCGGAAUCACUGGGCGUAAAGCGCACGUAGGCGGCUUUUUAAGUCAGAGGUGAAAUCCUGGAGCUCAACUCCAGAACUGCCUUUGAUACUGAGAGGCUUGAGUCCGGGAGAGGUUGGUGGAACUGCGAGUGUAGAGGUGAAAUUCGUAGAUAUUCGCAAGAACACCAGUGGCGAAGGCGGCCAACUGGUCCGGUACUGACGCUGAGGUGCGAAAGCGUGGGGAGCAAACAGG
rnacentral:rRNA from 1 species